GACGAACGCUGGCGGCGUGCCUAAUACAUGCAAGUAGAACGCAGUUUCGAACGGGUGAGUAACGCGUCGGUAACAUUCCUCAUAGCGGGGGGUAACUAUUGGAAACGAUAGCUAAUACCGCAUACUGUGAGAUGGACCUGCGUUGUAUUAGCUAGUUGGUGAGGUAAAGGCUCACCAAGGCGACGAUACAUAGCUGACCUGAGAGGAUGAUCAGCCACACUGGAACUGAGACACGGCCCAGACUCCUACGGGAGGCAGCAGUGGGGAAUCGUGCACAAUGGACGCAAGUCUGACCGAGCAACGCCGCGUGAGUGAAGAAGGUUUUCGGAUCGUAAAACUCUUUUGGCAGAGAAGCGGUAUCUAACCAAAAAGCCACGGCUAACUACGUGCCAGCAGCCGCGGUAAUUC
rnacentral:rRNA from 1 species